rnacentral:rRNA from 1 species
UACAGAGGUCUCAAGCGUUGUUCGGAUUCAUUGGGCGUAAAGGGUGCGUAGGCGGCGCGUUAAGUCGGGUGUGAAAUCUCGGGGCUUAACUCCGAAACUGCAUUCGAUACUGCCGUGCUUGAGGACUGGAGAGGAGACUGGAAUUUACGGUGUAGCGGUGAAAUGCGUAGAUAUCGUAAGGAAGACCAGUGGCGAAGGCGGGUCUCUGGACAGUUCCUGACGCUGAGGCACGAAAGCCAGGGGAGCAAACGGG